rnacentral:rRNA from 1 species
GACGUAGGUGGCGAACGUUAUCCGGAAUUAUUGGGCGUAAAGGCUGCGUAGAUGGUGUAGUAAGUUAUCGGUGGUAAAUCGAGGCUCAACCUCGUGGAAGUCGGUAAUACUGCUAUGCUAGAGGAUAGGAGAGGUUAACGGAACUCCCUGUGGAGCGGUGAAAUGCGUAGAUAUAGGGAAGAACACCAAUAAGGCGAAGGCAGUUAACUAUUCUAUUCCUGACAUUGAGGCAUGAAAGCGUGGGGAGCAAAACGG